AGCUGCAUCACCUGGAAGCUUAUUAAAAAUGCAGAAUCUCCACCAAGACAGAAUCUGCAUUUUAAGAAGUCUGCAGAUGAUUUGAUU
rnacentral:miRNA from 1 species